UGAACAUUCCAGGCUCUGUGAACUAAGUGACUGAAGCUGAUUGACACAGGUCAAGGGGACUUCAAGGAAGAAAGCCAGCCUUAGACUGACAUCAGAGAACCAAACUCCGGUGUCUAAGCUCAAGAGGUUAGAAUCCUGAGAACUGUUUGGAAUAAGGAAUCCAAAUAUUGUCUUCCAGCUUCACCUUGUCACGACAGUCCUCGCCAGGGACAGCUGAGCAUCUACAUCUCCAUUUAUGCCGUGUGCACGCAGUACCAACAGAGGUCAGAGGAGGGUGUCGGAUCCCCUGGAACUGGAGUCACAGAUUCUUCCUUGCGUGGAUGAAACAGUCCCAACGAACACUUUAAAAAGACAAAUGUUCCCGACAGCACUGGUUGAAUUCAAAACUCGGCAGAUCCAUGUUCUUAUCCUUAGACAAGAGAGGGGCCAUAACAAGAUGGAAUGACGGAACAGACGUGAGAGAUGAUGUCCACCCAGAGGGUCUGCACUUCUCGGAGCCAGAAGGUGGAGAAGAGUAGGGAUGGAGGAAGUUCGAAGUUUUAGGAGUCUGCUCUUGGGUCCCUAGGCAUGAGGACAAGCUUUUCCUGUACUCAAUGCUCAUCUCUCAGUUGUGCCCACAUUGGUACACAUUACUUGCUUUCAACUGCUGCUGCUGCUGUUUCCUAAUUCAAUAAAGAUAUGGCUGGCUCAGCAGAGAGCUGUCAUCCA
rnacentral:lncRNA from 1 species